rnacentral:rRNA from 1 species
GUAGGGAAUCUUGCGCAAUGGGCGAAAGCCUGACGCAGCCAUGCCGCGUGAAUGAUGAAGGUCUUAGGAUUGUAAAAUUCUUUCACCGGGGACGAUAAUGACGGUACCCGGAGAAGAAGCCCCGGCUAACUUCGUGCCAGCAGCCGCGGUAAUACGAAGGGGGCUAGCGUUGCUCGGAAUUACUGGGCGUAAAGGGAGCGUAGGCGGAUAGUUUAGUCAGAGGUGAAAGCCCAGGGCUCAACCUUGGAAUUGCCUUUGAUACUGGCUAUCUUGAGUAUGGAAGAGGUAUGUGGAACUCCGAGUGUAGAGGUGAAAUUCGUAGAUAUUCGGAAGAACACCAGUGGCGAAGGCGACAUACUGGUCCAUUACUGACGCUGAGGUGCGAAAGCGUGGGGAGCAAACAGGAUUAGAAACCCGGGUAGUCC